AAGCCAUUCACUUGAUCAAUUGAUCAAGAUGAAUUAGAUUUGAAUCAAGGAAGAUUAAGUCUCCCUAAUCAAUGCUAACUUAUCAACCUUCAACUCAUUGAUCAAAAAAAAAAAGAAGAAGAAGAAAGAGAUGCAUAAUGGAAAAGGAAAUGGAAAGAAUAAAGUGCAUAAGAUGAAAUAAAUGUACCAAUCCAUGUAUGUUGACCAAAUGACAUUGAAAGUCAAAGUCAAACAAUGAGAAAUCAGAAAUGAGAUGAAGAUU
rnacentral:lncRNA from 1 species